rnacentral:rRNA from 1 species
GACGAACGCUGGCGGCGUGCUUAACACAUGCAAGUCGAACGGAAAGGCCCUGCUUUUGUGGGGUGCUCGAGUGGCGAACGGGUGAGUAACACGUGAGUAACCUGCCCUUGACUUUGGGAUAACUUCAGGAAACUGGGGCUAAUACCGGAGAGGAGCUCCUGCUGCAUGGUGGGGGUUGGAAAGUUACGGCGGUUGGGGAUGGACGCGCGGCUUAUCAGCUUGUUGGUGGGGUGGUGGCUUACCAAGGCUUUGACGGGUAGCCGGCCUGGGAGGGUGACCGGCCACAUUGGCACUGGGAUACGGCCCAUACUCCUACGGGAGGCAGCAGUGGGGAAUAUUGCACAAUGGGCGGAAGCCUGAUGCAGCAACGCCGCGUGCGGGAUGACGGCCUUCGGGGUGUAAGCCGCUUUCGCCUGUGACGAAGCGUGAGUGACGGAAAUGGAUAAAGAAGCACCGGCUAAUUACGU